CUGCCCUCAAGCCCGGCUUGUGUGUUGGGUCCUGUCCCCCCGGGGACAGGCCCGAAAGGCAGUGGCGGCACCGCGUCCGAUCCUCGAGCGUAUGGGGCUUUGUCACCCGCUCUGUAGGCCCGGCCGGCGCUUGCCGACCCCAAUCAAUCUUUUUUCA
rnacentral:misc_RNA from 1 species